AGAAUGAGCAUUUGAGAAUCCAAAGAAGUCCCCAUCCUCUGUCUCUUCGUCAAAUAUCUCUCUUAGCUCAUGGCGCUGCAGCUCUUCCAUUUCUUCAGCAGCUGGAUAACAAAGUUUGAGGCAGGAGAUGUGUACAUUUCAGUGGUCUGACCCACUGUCCUCGAGAACCACGUCAUAGUUAAGAGAUCCAACCUGCUGGAGGACGCAGUAGGGACCUUGCCACUUCAGUGCAAGCUUUGCCAUGAAUGAUUUCUCAGCUUUGGGAUGAGCGCAUAGCCAGACUCUGUCUUUCUCCUCAAAAGUCAUAUCCCUGCGGUGAUCAUUGUAAUUGCUCUUCUGUUGCUUACGGGCCAGGGAAUGAUUUUUGGGGACAAAGGCCUUGAGAUCAUUGAGGUAGGAGAUUUUUGAGUAGACUGCAGAGUCAGGCACAGCAUCUUGUGGCUGCAACACUACAUCCAGUGGUCCCCUAAGUCAUUGAUGGAGAUUAAGUUCAGCCGGGGUGUCACAGUCACAGCCAGAGGGUGCGAUUAGGUGGCAGUGCUCUCUCCUCCUCCGGCCCUGGCUCUCUCUCUCUCUAGGUGUGUGGCACAGAGGCUGGCAGCAGCUGUGGCUGAUCCUAAUCAGCUGAUCGAGUGCAGGUGGGAGUCGUUCAAUCAGGCACACUGGCUUCCCUUUAAAACCUGAUGAGACUCGUCAUUUGAUGCUGGACUGCAUCCUAACAAACAGUUAGUGUUGUGACCUGAACAGUCUGAGUCACUCAUUCCUAGUUCCUGCAUUACUCCUGUUAUCUGUGUCUAGUGUUGACUCCUGCCUGCUUCUGUUGUCGUUUCUGGAUGUGGACCUGCCACCGGACUGAGGUUUCCUGGCUAUCACUGGACCUUUGGAUUCUCCAAGGAUUCCCUGAGUGCAGAGGAGGAUACCUGCUGCCAGCCACAAGAAAACCUGACACGCCACCAAGGACGUCAUUCUGUUUGUCUGGAUGCCCUCUCCCCAGUCUACUCACCUGUGCUACCAAAAUUACUACCAGUGGCCAUAGGAACAUCUGGGACUGAGUUUUCCCGCGAAAGACUGGUCGAAGUUGGAUUCCAGAUCCUUCACACCUGAGAAUCACAUGUCAGCUCAUCUGCUGGGACUCAGACGUGGACUGCAUUACAGCAUCCCAUGGACCUGGAGUCGGCCAGCUGAUUCAAUGGGAAUCCAUCGUGGACUGGAUUACAGUGUGCUGUAGACCUGGAGCUGCUGCGCCACAAGUUGGGUCAACAACAAUCACCAAGCUCCUUGGCAGCCCGACUGACACCAUUUCUACCGACACAGGGCACGCACUUGUUUGACUAUUCUUUUGUUAAUAAACAUCUGGUCUUAUCAUAUUUGUUCUAUUAUGACUGCUCUCCACCAGUUCAAAUGACCAGUAUCGUGGUCCUACAGAAUCAUUUUGUCAUGCCGCUACACUGCCUUCCUCUUAGAACACCUGUUAUAUGAUCACUAAAAAAGUGGACAUCACUAAACCAUAGAAGCACAAGUGUCUGUUACUCCCCCUGCUGCUGAUAUCUGGGAACGUUCAACCCAAUCCUGGCGCUGAACCAUGUCCACUCAACAUCUGCCUACCAGUAUCUCCUGAUUUGCAGUCACUAACUUUUGACUCUUUUUGCCACCGUAAGAGUCUUGGUCUCAUGCAUUUAAAAAUACGUAGCCUCCUGCACCAUCUUGUUGAGCUGACUGCAUACGUUACCACUGCUAAUUCUGACAUUGUAGUCAUCGCCGAAUCCUGGCUCAAGAAAUCUGUUCCCAACUCUGAUGUUCUCAUCCCCCGGUUACAAUAUCUACCGCCAGCUCAGAAGCUCGAAGGGUGGGGGGUAUUGCUGUUUACUGUAAGGAUAAUUUGCAAUGCACUGUUAUCUCCUCUAAAUCUGUUGCCAAACAGUAUGAAUUGAUUUUUAUUAAAAAUUAGCCUAUCUAUAAUUUUUUCCCUCAAGGUUGCUGGCUGCUAUAGACCUCCCACUGCUCAUGCCUGUGCUCUGCCUGUUCUAUGUGAACUAGUUACCCCUCACACCUCCUCUGAAUUUAUCUUGUUAGGGGACCUGAAGUGGGAUAUGCUCAAUAUUCCAUCCUCUGUAAAGUUACAACUAGAUGCAUUAAAUCUUUCCCAGAUUGUGCAGGCCCCUACCAGAUAUAAUAAGUCAAUGGACUCUGGCACACUGAUUGACAUUUUACUCAUCAAAUGUCUGGUCUCACAUUAAAACUUUGUUUACUGCUGUUCUCAGCAAACACGCUCCUCCUUUUAAGAAAUUCAGAAUCGAAAUUUGUCUCAGUCCUUGGUUCAGUCCUCAGAAAUCUGAGCUUAUUCAUCAGUAACACCAACUAUGGCAAAGAGCUAAGAACGCUACCAAAACAUCUGACUGGCAGUUAUACAGGACACCCAGAAACAAGUGCAUCCAGUCAAUAAGACAAGCUAAAUCUACUUGUUUGAAACAGCAACUGCUCACAAAUGGCACAAACCCAAGACAUUUCUGGAAAACUAUCAAGUCACUCGAAAACAAAACCUUACCCUCACAUCUCCCCUCUGCAAUUAAUUCCAAUGGCAUAAUUGUCAUAGACAAAGCUACAGCGGUUCAGUGCUUCAAUAAGUAUUUUGUCAAAGCUGGGAGUACAUAUAAUAAUAUUACACCUCCUCCUAUGGAUUCCCCAGUCAUCUCAGGAUUUGUGACUUUUGGAACUACUCCCUUCUCCUUUCAGGCUAUACAUGACUCUGAUGUGCUGACCGAGUUGCUCAGCCUGGACAACCAUAAAUCUGCCGGACUGGAUGGACACGACCCAUUCUUUUUAAAAAUCGGAGCCCACGUCAUUGCAGCUCCCAUGUGUGAUUUGUUCAACCUAUCACUGCAGACUGGUUCCCCCAGGACUGGAAAUCGACUGCAGCCAUCCCACUUUCUAAAGGAGGUGAUAACUUGGACUUGAACUGCUACAAACCCAUUUCUAUUCUGGCUUGCCUUUCCAAAAUUAAAAAAAAAGACUGUUCAAUCAACAGCUUAUAGACCAUCUGGAGACUUAUAAUGUCUUUAGUCCCUUGCAGUCUGGCUUUAGAUCAGGGCACAGCUGCAUUUCUGCCUCACUUAAAGUUACAAAUGAUAUUGUGUGUGCCAUUGACAACAGAGAGUACUGUGCGGCUGUUUUUGUAGACUUGGCUAAGGCAUUUGACUCUGUCAACCACUUCACUCUGUUGGAAAGGUUACGGAGUAUUGGUUUUUCCAAGAAUUGUGUAAGUUGGUUCAGAAGCUAUUGUUCCAGGCACAUGCAGUCAGUGAGGGCGGAGGGUCUUCUCUUCCUUUACCAAUUCACAAAGGAGUUCAGCAGGGUUCAAUAGUUGGUCCAACACUCUUUAACAUCGACAUCAAUAACAUAACCCAUGCCGCAACCAAUUCCCACAUCCAUCUGUACGCCGAUGACACCAUUAUAUAUACAUCUAGUUCCUCCCUCCACACUGUCCUGUUUGCGCUACAGAUUAGCUUUAAUAACAUUCAACAUGCCUUUUCCAAUCUUCUUCUGUCACUAAACAUAAGCAAAACCAAAUGUAUAGUCUUCAACAGAAACCUUCCACCAAUCCAAAACCCGAUCAAACUUCUCUCACUGAACGGCACUGAAAUUCAAUUCAUGACCUGCUAUAAAUAUCUGGGAAUUUGGCUACAUUGUUGACCCUCAUUCAAAAAACAUAUCAGUACUCUCCUCUCUGAAGUAAAAUCCAGAAUCAGCCCCCUUCAGAGGACAAAAAA